CCUACGGGAGGCAGCAGUCGAGAAUCAUUCACAAUGGGGGAAACCCUGAUCGUGCGACGCCGCGUGGGGGAAUGCAGGUCUUCGGAUUGUAAACCCCUGUCAUGUGAGAGCAAAUUAAAAAGAUAGUACCACAAGAGGAAGAGACGGCUAACUCUGUGCGAGCAGCCGCGGUAAUACAGAGGUCUCAAGCGUUGUUCGGAAUCACUGGGCGUAAAGCGUGCGUAGGCUGUUGUGUAAGUCGUGUGUGAAAAGUGCGGGCUCAACCCGCGGACGGCACAUGAUACUGGGAGACUAGAGUAAUGGAGGGGGAAGCGGAAUGCUCGGUGUAGCAGUGAAAUGCGUAGAUAUCG
rnacentral:rRNA from 1 species